GGGGAAUUUUCCGCAAUGGGCGAAAGCCUGACGGAGCAAUACCGCGUGAGGGAGGAAUGCCUUUGGGUUGUAAACCUCUUUUCUCAGGGAAGAAGAUCUGACGGUACCUGAGGAAUAAGUAUCGGCUAACUCCGUGCCAGCAGCCGCGGUAAUACGGAGGAUGCAAGCGUUAUCCGGAAUUAUUGGGCGUAAAGCGUCCGCAGGUGGUUUCCAAAGUCUGCUGUUAAAGACUGGAGCUCAACUCCGGAACGGCGGUGGAAACUUGGAAACUAGAGUUCGGUAGGGGUAGCAGGAAUUCCCAGUGUAGCGGUGAAAUGCGUAGAUAUUGGGAAGAACAUCGGUGGCGAAGGCGUGCUACUGGACCGUAACUGACACUCAGGGACGAAAGCUAGGGGAGCGAAAGGGAUUAGAUACCCCUGUAGUCCUAGCUGUAAACGAUGGAAACUAGGUGUGGCUUG
rnacentral:rRNA from 1 species